UAACAUGUGAUUGUGUUUAUAUCACUUCUUACUGGACUUGGAUGCCAUAUGAGUUAACAGUUGCAUAUAGAACUUUUGCACCUGUAUCCUUUAUUUUUUGUGUUAUGGUUAAACCUAAAUGGAUAUGUUCGAGAUUAAAGACGGUUAUAUUAUGGACGAUUUAUCUCAGUGCAAUAAAAGUACAUUUAAGUGAACGCGCUUGCUCUGGGGAUGUGGUGAGUGCACGUUUCGCCUGUACCUUGAUGGCUGGCUCUUGUUUUGGUGCUGAAUGUGACAGUCGGAACGUAGUGCACACACUCCCGAAUAAUGUUGAACACAACAAGCUGCGAACGCUUUAAAGAAAGUUUAUAUUUUUCUAAUUCGCCCUUGUGGAAAAAUAGCAUUGAGUCCCGUUCUUCAUUGGCUACAGACUCUUUAGGUCAGUGGACGGUGUCCCGUUGCAGAGUUGCUGGGGCGUUUGUGGGACUCCUUUCCUUACACGUUUAUUAAGGAUCGUCUUGUUUUCGGCGACUGUGCAUACAUCUCAGAGGACUUCCUGCUUCAAUGCAGCGGGCUUGGCCGUCGGCAAUUACUGCUCUGCGCAUUCUUUAGGAGCAAGACAGCCGAAAGCUCUUGGAUGUUUGAUCUACAAAUGGUUCAUCAAUGUUGGAGCAUCAAUUUGGCUUAACAGUUUUCCGUGACAUCCUAUGACGUCGUAAACAAGCAGUUGGCCGGAUAACCGGCAGAGACCGGAUAAGAGGAUGGGACUGCUAUAGCCUGGAUCUCUGUUUUGGAUGGUUCCACCGGAGUGUAAUCAGUUGUUACCCCGCCCUCGAGGCCUUUGGGUGGGGCCUCGAUGCCCACACUCCCCGCAGCUAGUGGACACCAUGAGUAACACUGGGACUGAAGAGCCCUCCCUCCAGCCAGGCGACGGCCAGUCAUGUGCCGAGCCUCCACGCAGGGGUAGGGGUCGCCCUCGCAAACUGCCGCAGGAACCUGCGGGGCCUCCAGUCCCGAAGCGCCCCAGAGGAAGACCCAAAGGCAGCAAGGACAAGGGCCCCCGCACACCACUGAAGAAAGUAGAGCCACAGCGGGAGAAGAGGCCUCGUGGGCGACCGAGGAAAUGGCCUCAACAAGUAGUUCAAGUGGUAGCGGAGGAACAGCAGGGCCCUUCAGACCAGGCAGUGGAGGGCCCCUCUGAGACGCAUCCAUCUCAGGUUCCAGCAGCGGAGGAAGUGGAGUAAAUAGACAGCUCCUCCUCCACCUACCUCAAGGUUUGGCCUCAAACAGAUGGGGGUAAAAUCCGACCUGACAUCUGCUGCGGGGGGGGUUUCAGAGGAAUUACAAAAAAGUGGCGUCUCUAUCUUGGGAUAUUUACGUAGAGUUUCUUUUAGUUUUUUUUUAGUUGAGUCAAUGAUGUGCAUAAAUUCAUUGUUUGUGGUUUUACAAAAUUGGUUUUUACAUAGGAGGUGAUAUGGCUUGUGUGUGUGUGUGUGUGUGUGUGUGUGUGUGUGUGUGUGUGUGUGUGUGUGUGUGUGUGUGUGUGUGUGUGUGUGUGUGUGUGUGUGUGUGUGUGUGUGUGUGUGUGUGUGUGUGUGUGUCUUCUCCGUCGUGCGUGUAUGCAAAGAUCCACAAAGAUUACGGCCCUUUACCGGGGAUGACCUAUGCUUACACGAAGACAUGCAGUUCACCCAGAAUUUAGCAAGGAUUCGCCCUUCUCUGCUGAGGUUUGCGGCAAGGAAACACUGAUAGUUCGACCGGGGAACAUGCGCAAUGUUUUGUUUCCGACAGCCAGACACAAGAUAAUUAAUAAUAGCGCACCGGGCAAGAUGAAAUCACUGUAUUUUCAGUUGUAUUUUCAGUGCAUUUAAGUGAUUUUACCCAUUAUCACAUGGAUAUAUAACUUUUUCAACAUAUUUUCAAUGGAGCCGACUCAGUCGCGCAUUUCCCAUCUGUAUUUACUCGUCGGUUCAUAUACAUUUCUGGUCGUAAAUGCCAUGCUGCCCCCUUGUCCCUACAUGUUAUCGUGACAGGGAAAUGUUAAUGCAGACACCUCUGCAAAGAUCUAUAUCAUGUCUUGGCAAACGUGGGACACGCACGCAAGUGUGAAUUCAGCUUUUAGUGUUUUGAGCGUGCGUAGGGAUGAGGGAUGGACUGAUGGAUGAUGAAAAAGGAAAGAUUGGCCCUUACAUAAUUUAACUAAUCUUUUAAUAUUUUAAGACAACAUAGUAUAUAAAGAGUCCCAGCCCCCCUGUGCCAAAAUUGAGUAUUUUUGACACUGACAUCAUUCUGGUACAAUAUUUACUGUGUGUGCUUAAGAAAUUGUUAUGAAAGUACAUAUGACAAGUUUGAUUCCAAAAAUGUUGGUGUCCAUUCUUGGGAAGAAAAAGACAACUUAUUUGUUCAAUGCUUAUAUCUGCAUUAUCCAAUUUUCACUAGGCGUACUAUCCACAUUGUCUUAAAGGGGUAGUUCGGAAUUUUGGACAUAGGGCCUCAUUCCCAAGUUAGCCUUGGUGUUCUUUAUCAUUGGAGACAGUUUUCAACACAUUUCAUUCAGUCCUUCUAGUUGCAGAGUUUUCUCGUGCUAGGCUAGCGCACGGCAGGUUAGUUUUAUUUCUAACAUUCGGCUAUCAACACAGACAUUUACAUCUAUAGUCUGGCGUUAUAAUUGAUUUACCUCAGGUGUACUGUGGAGUGGGUUAGACUGUUUUAUUAGCAGGCUAGCAUUACCCGUUGCCGUGCGCUAGCCUAGCACCAGCGAACUCUGCAACUAGAAGGACUGAAUGAAAUGUGUUGAAAACUGUCUCCAAUGAUAAAGAACACCAAGGCUAACUUGGGAACCAGGCCCUAUGUCCAAAAUUCUGAACUACCCCUUUAACUCAUUGUAUGUAUUACUUACUUUGCCAUAGAUCAAUCAUUCAGGAAUUUCUGGUUUCCCAAAUGGUCCUUUACUUUUGGAAUGCAACUUUUCAUAUCAAAUAUGUUGACAUGUUAAUUUACUGCACUCAGGAUUAUACUUUUGCGUUGUGUUUUUUUCUCUUUACCAACACAUGUUAACCUCAGGUACAAAACUUUUCAGGAGACUGUCUGAGGGUCUGAUCCAUAUGAUUAUUGCGAUGUGUUUGUUGUGCAUUUCCGAUCUGUAUUUGACGUUCACCAAUUGCUUUGACACAAAGACCUCAUGUAGACCUCUGAUACACUCACACCAACUUACCUCACACUCUACCUCACUUAUAGUACAGAUUAACACACACACACACACACACACACACACACACACACACACACACACAUACAUAUAUAUAUAUAUAUAUAUAUAUAUAUAUAUAUAUAUAUAUACACACACACACACACACACACACACACACACACACACACACACACACACACACACACACACACACACACACACACACUCUAACUCAAGAACGUGUGCAGACACAUCUAACUUCCAAGAUUCACUUUGCAUGGUUUACACAUUUCACAGGAAUCUACCGAUGCAGGGUGUUAGGUUCAAUCCCAUGUCUCAAUCUUUUGUUUGUUUUGGCAAAAUCUGGCAAAUCCAACGCCCUCUUAGGAAAAAAAUCUGAAUCAGGAAGCCGGCUAUAUGGGCCUAUUGGGUGCUACGUGGGCAGCGUAAAUAUUAUUGUAUUACCAAAGAAGUCUCUGAAACGGCUCACUGAUUGGGUGAUGGAGUGUUGUUCGGAGCCUAGUUGCCCCAUCCGACUGGUACUGGUAGACUGGUAGACUAGCACCAUACUUGAGUCCAGUUAAACCUGGUCGCGUCCAGUUAAACCUGGUCGCGACCUGGAUUGUGACGGCAGUGAAAUGACACAAAUGCCUGCAACAGGUUUAACCCUGAUCCCUGGAAAGCGGUUGUUAACCAACUUUUUUUUGUCCUUUCCAGACACCUGUGAAAUAUUAGACUCCCAUUGAAAUCCAACUGUCAAUUUCAGGGUCUGUUUUGUACCAAAUCUGUGUUCGAACCUCAAACGAGACUGGCAUGGUUGUCCUCACCUCCAAUCAGCCAUUCUCACACCACUUGAUGAGAUAUUUGUAGUCUGUUUCAAAUGAGAUUCAUCAUUAUUUGUACUCAUUUUACUUCUUUGAGAUCUUACAACAGCAAUUGUAUACGUCAUUAUGUGUUUUCCUUACACUGUAAUUCAUAACAAUGCAAAAUAACGUUUUUAAAAGAUGGAACCUACUAGGUAAUUCACUUAGGACGGAGUCCAGAAUAAUUUCUACAAUAUUUUGGGAAACCAUUAAAAAAAAAUUCAAUUCAAUUCAAAGCUGAAUAACUACUUUUCAUUUUUCAUCAUGUGGCAAAUCUUUUUUGCAUAGGCCUAUGUGUGAACUAUCCAUAAACUACUCCAAAUUUCAGAAUAAUCUACUUUUACUUAACAUUAUCUUCACUUGAGCACUAUUCGGGGAACUGCGACUAAAACAAUAAUAGAUUUACUGUAGGCUACUUUUUGAUGGUCCCUUUGGACUGAUUUAUUUAGCUUUUUCCACUAGACUUCCAAAGCAAGUUAACAGCAUCUCAGAAGAGUGUUUAGUUAUCAUGACGAUACCUCACCUUUAACCAUACGCACAAUUAAUCUUGAUGUGAUCAAUCUUGUUAUUGAGGGACAGCUCAAAGUAAUAGCUCAAAGUAAUACAAAUACUUCACAAUGCUAGUAUCUCUGGGUGUUGUUGGAAAUGUCACAACGCUAGAUGUGUAAUCUUUUCAAUGAUUAAAAAGUAGAAUUUUAUCAAAAUGUUUUCACAUAGGAAUUUAUCCCUUCAUUUCGUGCUUGACUCUUUUUAUAAUUAUGCACAUUUUACAUGUGUCAUCAUCCACUGAUACAGGUCGAUUUACAGAAGCAACCUGUUUUAUGAGCCUAUACUGCAUUUUUUUGUCUUAAUCUGCAGCCAUAUUGACAAUAAAAUGUUACCAAAUUA